rnacentral:rRNA from 1 species
GAUGAACGCUGGCGGCGUGCCUAAUACAUGCAAGUCGAGCGAAAAGAUGAGGAGCUUGCUCCCCUGACGUUAGCGGCGGACGGGUGAGUAACACGUGGAUAACCUACCUAUAAGACUGGGAUAACUUCGGGAAACCGGAGCUAAUACCGGAUAAUAUAUUGAACCGCAGGGUGCAAUAGUGAAAGACGGUUUUGCUGUCACUAAUAGAUGGAUCCGCGCCGCAUUAGCUAGUUGGUAAGGUAACGGCUUACCAAGGCGACGAUGCGUAGCCGACCUGAGAGGGUGAUCGGCCACACUGGAACUGGGACACGGUCCAGACUCCUACGGGAGGCAGCAGUAGGGAAUCUUCCGCAAUGGGCGAAAGCCUGACGGAGCAACGCCGCGUGAGUGAUGAAGGUCUUCGGAUCGUAAAACUCUGUUAUUAGGGAAGAACAAAUGUGUAAGUAACUAUGCACGUCUUGACGGUACCUAAUCAGAAAGCCCCGGCUAACUACGUG